UCCCUCUAAGGAUCGCACCUAGAGAGUUUCCAGCAGUCUACCAGCCUCACAUACAAGAGGGAAAGUCAAGCAGAGGCCUACUCAUUCCAUUCCUAGCUUGGCCAGUGGCUAUCGAGUGGAAGGCAAUCUGCUACAAGG